AUGGCAGCAGGCGAGAAGCGUUGCUGAUUGAGAUUUCGUCGUUCGCUCGGUCUCCUAUUAGACAUCUGAGUGUGUUGAGUGUGUGUAUGUUUUGUGUCGGAUCGAUGAUGAUGUCUGCCCCCCUGAUCAUAGCAAGUGUAAUGCGAGAUCAGGGGGCGCUCGACGUCUCACAAUACCUUUGGUUGUCAAAAGGAAGAGUCUACCACAAUGUUUUGUUUUGUGCCUUGGGUUGCAGAUGUGUUUGCCGUGCGUGGAGUGAGUGCUACUGCUGUAAAAGACGAAAAUAUGCAUAGUUUACCCUCCUUUCCUCUUCUUCACUGAAAGUUAAAGAGCAGGCUUAAUAUUUAUG
rnacentral:sRNA from 1 species